rnacentral:rRNA from 1 species
GUGGGGAAUAUUGGGCAAUGGAGGCAACUCUGACCCAGCCAUGCCGCGUGGGUGACGAAGGUCUUCGGAUUGUAAAGCCCUUUCGGCGGGGACGAUGAUGACGGUACCCGCAGAAGAAGCCCCGGCUAACUUCGUGCCAGCAGCCGCGGUAAUACGAAGGGGGCUAGCGUUGUUCGGAAUUACUGGGCGUAAAGGGCGUGUAGGCGGCCCGUUAAGACAGGUGUGAAAUUCCUGGGCUCAACCCAGGACGUGCGCCUGUGACUGGCGGGCUUGAGUCCGGGAGAGGAUGGUGGAACUCCCAGUGUAGAGGUGAAAUUCGUAGAUAUUGGGAAGAACACCCGUGGCGAAGGCGGCCAUCUGGACCGGUACUGACGCUAAGGCGCGACAGCGUGGGGAGCAAACAGGAUUAGAUACCCCAGUAGUCC